rnacentral:rRNA from 1 species
CCUACGGGUGGCUGCAGUGGGGAAUAUUGGACAAUGGGCGAAAGCCUGAUCCAGCCAUGCCGCGUGUGUGAAGAAGGCCUUCGGGUUGUAAAGCACUUUCAGUGGGGAAGAAAGCCUUGGGGCUAAUACCCUCGAGGAAGGACAUCACCCACAGAAGAAGCACCGGCUAACUCCGUGCCAGCAGCCGCGGUAAUACGGAGGGUGCGAGCGUUAAUCGGAAUUACUGGGCGUAAAGCGCGCGUAGGCGGUCUGAUAAGCCGGUUGUGAAAGCCCCGGGCUCAACCUGGGAACGGCAUCCGGAACUGUCAGGCUAGAGUGUAGGAGAGGAAGGUAGAAUUCCCGGUGUAGCGGUGAAAUGCGUAGAGAUCGGGAGGAAUACCAGUGGCGAAGGCGGCCUUCUGGACUGACACUGACGCUGAGGUGCGAAAGCGUGGGUAGCAAACAGGAUUAGAUACCCGAGUAGUC